GAAACUUCAAGUGGAAUCAACUGGAAAAAAAUAACCAGCAGUGUAUCGGAGAAUUGUGACUGUUUAGUCCAUCAAUUGAUAGUGUUUAUUUGGAAUCCGUUCUGGUAGCCAACAAAUCUACUUCCUACCUUCGACGACGAUAUUGUUUUCAUUUACGUUCUCAUUGGCCACGGUUUGUGCGGAAGCCCCAGCCAGAGCGAGGGCCAGGAUCAGGUAGAGAAACCUCAUGUUGAUAGCUAUCCAGAUGGUUUUCGAAUGUACAGCUUACUGCUUUGGGGACCGGGCCCCACUUAUAUACCCUCAUAUUCCUGGUCAUGCUUAAAUGCUAUUUUCAAUGCAUGUUUAAUGAAAAGUUUAAGCUAGAUUUCAUAACUGGAAUCGAUGUGGCUGGUAACUGUUUCCUCAACUAAACACUAUCGGUAGAGAAUUCGGAUGCGCUUUACUGGAUCGAUUCUGUUAGUUGAAUGAGACCACAGGGACACGGACUGGAUCAGGAUCGAACGCGAAACGUACUAAAGCUAAAUAUUAGUGCAAUAUUGUUCAUUAAGGCUGAGGUCUUAUGCCACGCUAGGUUACCUAUCACCGCACCUAUGUACAUGUAUGGAGUAUCUCGACAAUGACUUUCUACCAGAUUUGUGUCCAAGAUAAUCAAACUAAUCGUUCAUAAUUAUAUUUAGGUAUAUUUUUAUCAUAUAUUUAACUGGGGAAUGCCAUCUCUUUAAUCCUUCAAACCGAUUAUAGUGUUUAUUUAUCAUCCCUUCUGGUCUCCACAAAACUACUUCCUACUUCCUACUUCCCUCCUUUGAUGACGAUUGUGUUGUUAUUUCUGUUCAUAUCGGCGUGAACGGAAACCGUCGCCAGAAGAAGGGCCAGGAUAAGAUACAAAAAAAUCAUUUUUUUGCUAGCCAAAUGGUUUUGGAAGGUAGAGUCCGCUAACUGGCGAACCCUAUUUAUACCCACAUGCUUAUUGGUCAUGCUUAAAUGCUACUUUUAAUGGGUAUUUAACUUAAAAGUCAAGUAUGAAGUAUUACUAGACGGGAAAUCUGGAACUAAUAAUGGUUACCAAAAUUACUUGGUAAUUUCCCAUUUGUACUUAAUGUAAGGUUCAACAGGGAUUCUAUAAUAUGAAGUUAUUCGAAUUGCUAUAUUUGAAGAACUUUUGUUCUGUACUUUUUUCUACCUUUAUAAAUGGCUACAUGGAUCCCGAAAAUCUUUCGAAAAUGUACUUCCAUCUCUUGUUUGUUUCUCUGGUGCUAGAAGGUUGUACUACCUUAUAAAUGAUUUAAAUACAAAACUGUUACGAUAAUUUCCUGGCAAAA